CGGGUGAGUAAUGCGUGACCAACCUGCCCCAUGCUCCAGAAUAGCUCUUGGAAACGGGUGGUAAUGCUGGAUGCUCAACUUGACGCAUGUCUUGUUGGGAAAGUGUUUAGUGGCAUGGGAUGGGGUCGCGUCCUAUCAGCUUGUAGGCGGGGUAAUGGCCCACCUAGGCUUCGACGGGUAGCCGGCCUGAGAGGGCGGACGGCCACAUUGGGACUGAGAUACGGCCCAGACUCCUACGGGAGGCAGCAGCU
rnacentral:rRNA from 1 species